rnacentral:rRNA from 1 species
GACGAACGCUGGCGGCGUGCUUAACACAUGCAGGUCGAACGGAAAGGCCCUGCUUUUGUGGGGUGCUCGAGUGGCGAACGGGUGAGUAACACGUGAGUAACCUGCCCUUGACUUUGGGAUAACUUCAGGAAACUGGGGCUAAUACCGGAUAGGAGCUCCUGCUGCAUGGUGGGGGUUGGAAAGUUUCGGCGGUUGGGGAUGGACUCGCGGCUUAUCAGCUUGUUGGUGGGGUAGUGGCUUACCAAGGCUUUGACGGGUAGCCGGCCUGAGAGGGUGACCGGCCACAUUGGGACUGAGAUACGGCCCAGACUCCUACGGGAGGCAGCAGUGGGGAAUAUUGCACAAUGGGCGGAAGCCUGAUGCAGCAACGCCGCGUGCGGGAUGACGGCCUUCGGGUUGUAAACCGCUUUCGCCUGUGACGAAGCGUGAGUGACGGUAAUGGGGAAAGAAGCACCGGCUAACUACGU